UACGUAGGGGGCUAGCGUUGUCCGGAAUCAUUGGGCGUAAAGAGCGUGUAGGCGGCUCGGUAAGUCCGCUGUGAAAGUCCAGGGCUCAACCCUGGAAUGCCAGUGGAAACUGUCGAGCUAGAGUCCGGAAGAGGCGAGUGGAAUUCCUGGUGUAGCGGUGAAAUGCGCAGAUAUCAGGAAGAACACCCGUGGCGAAAGCGGCUCUCUGGAACGGUACUGACGCUGAGACGCGAAAGCGUGGGGAGCGAACAGG
rnacentral:rRNA from 1 species